rnacentral:rRNA from 1 species
UACCAGCACCUCGAGUGGUCAGGAGGUUUAUUGGGCCUAAAGCAUCCGUAGCCGGCUGUUCAAGUUUCCGGUUAAAUCCACACGCUUAACGUAUGGGCUGCCGGAAAUACUGUUCAGCUAGGGAGUGGGAGAGGUAGACGGUACUCGAUAGGAAGGGGUAAAAUCCUUUGAUCUAUUGAUGACACCUGUGGCGAAGGCGGUCUACCAGAACACGUUCGACGGUGAGGGAUGAAAGCUGGGGGAGCAAACCGGAUUAGAUACCCGGGUAGUCCCAGCUGUAAACGAUGCAGACUCGGUGAUGCAUUGGCUUGUGGCCAGUGCAGUGCCGCAGGGAAGCCGUUAAGUUUGCCGCCUGGGAAGUACGUACGCAAGUAUGAAACUUAAAGGAAUUGGCGGGGGAGCACCACAAGGGGUGAAGCCUGCGGUUCAAUUGGAGUCAACGCCAGAAAUCUUACCCGGGGAGACAGCAGAAUGAAGGUCAAGCUGAAGACUUUACCAGACAAGCUGAGAGGUGGUGCAUGGCCGUCGCCAGCUCGUGCCGUGAGAUGUCCUGUUAAGUCAGGUAACGAGCGAGACCCUUGCCUCUAGUUGCCACCAUUACUCUCUGGAGUAGUGGGGCGAAUUAGCGGGACCGCCACAGUUAAUGUGGAGGAAGGAGAGGGCCACGGCAGGUCAGUAUGCCCCGAAACC